AACCCUGCAAAAUCCUUUCAAGAUAGUCUUCUUGUAGAGAGAAUGAGAGUUAGGGGCCAACUUUAAAUCUGUGAAAAUGUCAACUGUCUUGUUUGGGCCAAGUCACGAAUGCAAAAGUGUUCUUCACAAAAAGCGAAAACAUAGACUGAACAUCCUAAAUUCCCGUGUUAAUGUCAGCCCCGGAAAGAUGGAAAGGCCACUUAGCAUCAUUUAAUGGAUGCGGGGCAGAGGACAACACUCCGCUUCGGGGUGCUGUUUCUCACACCAGGACCGAGUGGGAAAACAUUUUCUUUGAGUGGAGUUUAAUAAUAAGAACCUGGAAAUCGGAGGCAGCUGUGGGAUUUUCUGUACAAUGGCUGGAGGAAUCCACGGAAAUGCUUGAUUCCGCUGCUGCUGCCUACCAGAUUCUCCCCUCCCCUAGCCCCCGCCCCCCCUUUCCCAUUUUGGAAAGAGGAGAAAUAUGGUUUGUAUAAAGAGGGCUGCGGCCG
rnacentral:lncRNA from 1 species